rnacentral:lncRNA from 1 species
CGGGGAGGGACUCGCCCCCCGUGCCUGUGUUUACAGACUGCUGGUUUCCCCGGGCUCUGACCUGCCUCGUCCAGAAAGCCCAGCAAGAGCGUUGAACUCCUGCUUUCUGCAGGUUCUGCUGGGAGCGGCUCCUCUGGGGUGUGAAGCGGGCAGAGGAGGAUGAGGAGGGAGCCGUGAGCAGAGCCUAGGAGGAGCCUUCCGGGGGCUUCCAGAAGCUGGGGACGGCUGAGACCUGGGUUUGAGGAAGAGCCAGAAGGUCUGAGUGGCUAGAUACGGGGUGGGGGUGGGGGUGGGGCAAAGGGUGCAGAGCUGGUGGGGAGAUGAAGAGAGGGGGCCAAGGGGAGACCCCGUAGGGCCAGGGGGCCUUGGGGAGCACUGAGCCUUUAUCCCGAGUGACUGGAGGCCAUUAGGGCCACCAGUGGGUCCCCACGGAGAGCCCUCCCCAGGGAGAAACAUGGAAAACAACCACGGCCAACCGAGUGGGUGCAGCCCGCACGCAGGUGCCCCCCCAUAACCGAUGCACUGCGUUGACUCCAGAGGCAGAAACGAAGGAUAAUUACUGACCUACUGAGCUCACCUCGUGACCACCCACCUGCUGUACCAGCUAAGUGACCCGUGACUGGAGCACAGGGCGCAUUCCUGUCAUAUGUGACGUCUGUCCCUUGUUCCAGGAUGGUGCGUGACCGCUCUGUCCACCCUGCAGCUUCGGGGAGCUUCCUUGCGUGGGGUAGGGGGAUGUGUGAGGCGGGGGCGUCCCGAGUGAGCUGACCUCCUGCAGCAGCCGCAGCCCCAGCCCCUGCAGGAGCCGCCCGCCUCCCCCACGCGUCCUCCAUGGAAAACACAACCGAGAAAGGCAUUCGGAUGGCCAGGCCUCCCUCCACCCGGACCAGCUGCCGGGACGAUUUCCAUUAACCAUCACCCUCCAAACUCGCUUAUAAUCACUCUCCGCCCUCCCGGGCGUUGCCAAGGGAGGAGCGUUAAUCUAAUCAGCGAUCGUGUCUGAAGGCUGAUGGCCUGAGAUGGGCCCGGGCCUCUCCCCCCCCCCUCCGGGGCAGGGCGUGCACGUGGAUGGGGGAGAUGAAUGAACACAGAUGCGGCCGCUGUGAGCUACCUUCCCGGCACAGGAUCUGCUCUCUGCUCUCACCAGUGGGGCCCUCGCAGCAUCUCCCGG